GGAUGAAUAACUAAUUUAGUGUCUCCCCUGGAAUCUCUUUAUAUAUAAUCUCUCUAUAUAUAAAAGGCUUAAAGAAACAUUGUUGGUCUUGGCAAAAAUGGGUUACAAUGUAUCCGAGAGACCAUCCCUCUCGUAUUGCGGCGCAUUCCCAGUAUCUGCGCAUAUACUUCUGCACUGACAUCAUCACUGGCAAACCAAUUAAACGACUAAACUUCUUUCCCAGGAGUUGAAGGCGCGAGAACAUCUGCCCCGUGUUAUUAUUGCGAGCUUACUAGCACGAGAGGGAGUGUGAGGUGGGACAGUUCCUCAUCUUAUGACAGGUCAGAUCCAUGACGUCAGCGCAACUCCGGGGAAAGCUGCUGACUGCUCAGAGACCUGCGGCCACCCUGGGGGCCUCGCACGGGAAAUCACGCAUGUCAAUCUAGCCGGUAAGACACCUCAUGUGGAUCGGGUAUAACGACUACGUGUAGGGCUCUAUCAUCACUGAGAGCCAUCAUCUGGAUAUGAUAUCAUGUCAUAUCAUAUGUGUCACCACCACCACAACCAGACCCCAACCACCCUGUUUAGUGUAGACGGGAGAAAUUGACUUGUUUCCUGUGAGUGCGGGGGACCACCGUGCAGGACUGCCUACUUCCUGUGAGUCUGGCUGCUUGGGAGGUGCGGGACUGCGCGCCAAAUCCAUGGUGGCCUCACGACUUGGCGUUCGCGUCUGGAGCGGAAUCAAGAACCGUGCUGCCAUUUGAAGAAGCACAGACUCUGUGUCUGUGUGUGUCUGUGGGCUGUCUGUGUAUUUGUGUCUCUUCGGUUGUUGCUCUUGGCCUUACCUCCUGACACUAGCUUUCCCUUAAUCCUUAUUUUCUUUUUUUUUUUACUAGUAAUCCCUUUUCUUUUUUUCUUUUUUUUUACUUUUUUAGCACGAAUAAGAUAACAACUAUUUAGUAUGACGCUGAAGUAAGGAACUUCCGUUAACCAUUACUGCUUGGUGGAAGUGUUGAGUGAAGGUGAGAAGGUUGUUGUAGUGGUACGCACCUCUAUGGCAUCGGAGUGGUGUCACUAAGAUACACUUUAUGCCAGAGCAUCAGUAGGAGUAGAUUGGUAGUGUGUAUCUGUCUGGUUGUCUGAUGACCUGUAAACCAAACUACAGCUAGACACUUCAAGUACAGGAUCACAGCUCAAAACUAUGAUUUGAGUGCACACGUGUGUGUGUGUGUGUGUGUGUGUGUGUGCGAAUAUGGGGUAUGUGUAUGUGUGGGGUAUGGGUUCAUGGUCUGGGGUCUGUAACGCGCCUUGAGACCAUUUGUUUGUUUUGGUGCUAUAUGAAUAAUCAAGAACCGUGCUGCCAUUUGAAGAAGCACAGACUCUGUGUCUGUGUGUGUCUGUGGGCUGUCUGUGUAUUUGUGUCUCUUCGGUUGUUGCUCUUUGUCGAAUUCGCACUGUGAAUCAGUCACAGUCUUCCACUGAAUAUACCCUCCACGUUGCUCCAUGGUCUAUGGGCUAUCACAAAUAGUAUUACCUUUGGCUUUGUAGUAUAGCAGAUUCACAUAACGGUAGGAAAACGUGUGAUCAUGGACGUGGGAGGUCAAAUGAGCGAACUAGCCAGCAAACCCCAUCUCGCAGGAGGAAACACUGAGCAUGCUCCGUGGUCCAACAGAGGGCCCAUUGUGUGCGGUGGUAACCAAACCCCGCGCCGGGACCUGGAGAUUAAAGGCCCGAGGCGCUCCUUCUCUCCCACGGGCAUUGAGAGGGAGACGCAGCCUACGGUGCCACGAGGGAGCGCAGCCGCCCCCUCUAGAGUCGUAACCGAUGACCUCAAAUGUGUUCUGCUUUCAAUGUGGGCCGCGUGCGCCGCGGUGCGUGUGGAGAGCAGAGCCGCAGGAUGCGUUCGUCACAGGGCUGCUGUUCUGCACAAGCCUCUCUCGGGCCUAUGGCCCAUUAAACUGAGCUGGGGAGAUUUAAA
ensembl:lncRNA